UGUGGUUCCAUGUAUGUAGACAUGUCUGCUUUUGUACUUUUUUUUGUUACGUCUUACUCUUAAUUCGUCUGUUUACUUAAUUAGCUUUAUUUAUGUUUUUUUUUUUUUUUAAUUUCUUUCCAUUUAUUGCUGAUGCUGCACCUGCUGUCGCCUUCUCUGAUGUCCUGAACCAUUCUUCGCCUCCUCUUCCUCCUCCGCCGACGUCGUCGUCCUCUUCAACAGCUGAGGUGUGGAGCGAUUUGAAUGCGGAUACCUCUUGCUAGAUUUUCAAUUUCAUCAAACAUUCGUGGAGGAUUUAUCAACGUAAAACAAAUAUUUUCAUAUUCAGCCAUUACAGAAGCAUUUAAGAACGUAUAUAUAAAUUUUUUUUAUAUAUGCACACAAAAGAACGAUGUCAUAAACAUUCAAUGUUUAUUUUUC
rnacentral:lncRNA from 1 species